AUGGGGGACCCACAAGCCUUAGAGACUUUCUUGGUUCGGAAUGGAAGGUCUCGGGGGAAGGAGAGGGGGGAAGGAAGGAAAUCAAUUUGUUCGCUCCUCUCCUGGAGAAGCUUUGGGGCUACCGAAGUCGGCCGCCCAGGCUUAUCUACUAAGCUUCAGCCAACCCGGGCCCCAAAGUCUAGUCGCCCGGAUUUAUCUUCCGGGGAGAGCCUUUCCUCUUGCGUACGGAAUGUUAACUGGGGUAGCUGCUGCAGAAUCCGACAGACCAGAGGAUUGAGUCCGAAGGCGGAGAGGGUGACCGAUUUCUGGCUAAGAAAAAUUAUCCUCUCUCACAAGAGUGGAAGGAAGAGCUUGGGCACAAUGCCCUGGUUACCAGGGGCCGAAAUGGGCCAGGAAAAACUGCUUAGGCUCGAAACCAUGCACAGAUUACCGAGCUCUAGGGACUGGGGGUAGCCCUAUCUGAACUGACAUGGAGGGGAGAACCGAGGGGCUGAAGCUUGUCAGCAAACCCUAUCUCCAGUAAGCUCAGAUCCCGUAUUCCCUCUCAGUCCAUACCACUCCCGGCCCACACCGGUAAGAAAUCCCAGCCGUUUCGGCUUGAUUCAAGCGUUCCCCUUGGGGGGACCAGGUUCUGUUUUCCCUCUCCGCCUCCCAUCCACUGUCCAGCUCAAAGUUUGGGGAAGGGGCAAGUAGUGUAAGUCGAAGAUGUCCACUAGUUCCAGGCAAGAAGUUGAGUACGGGGAAAGAGCUGGAAGGGAGAGGAAUUCGUAGAAGCUAACACAAGAUUUAUGGCUCAAACUGUCCUCCCUCAGCGAGGAGUCUUUAAUUCCUUUCCAAUCAAAACAGAGUUGAGUGUAAGACCCGGCCGGGCGUUGGGAUGGGGGCUGAAGCUUCGGCUCAAGCCAGGUCCUUUCUAAAGACAAACAGGGGGGAGGUGAAACUCUAACGAUCCCCCAAACCGCUUGGCCUCCCUCUUACUCCGAACCUAUUCAGGGCAAUGCGCGGCUCUCUUCCCCAUGGACCCAUUUUCACUUUGCCAAGGGGACCCUGGGAGGGGUGCAGACGUUGGCUGUGCUUCUCCGGGUCUUCUCUAAGAACAAGAGAGGUGAAUGAGAAGGGACAGAGGCAGCGGCUGAAACUGCGGCGACAGGCAACGAGGAGAGAUUCCUAUCUGGUCUCCGGGCCGAGAGGAUUGCGCCGUGGGAAACAAAAGAGCCGUUUCUCCCCUGCUAAGCCAAGCAACAACUGGGGGGGGGGGGUGUGGAGGGAGGGGAGGAGGAGGCUGUGGAUAUGAGUGUAAAAGCCUCAAGGUUGGCUUGUCCUUUGAUUUAAAAAAAAGGGGGGGGGAGUAUUUUGUCAACCCAGCUGGGGCAUGGUUACGUGUUUAUGCUACAUUCCGUCAGAAAAAAAGGCCCCCACAGUUCCGAAUAGACUGCAGCGAAACAAAAGAAGGGCUUAAUCUAAUUAACACAGCCCGAGAAGGGAGCUGGGAGAGGGGAGAUGGGUGGUGGGAGAGGGGUUGGGAGCUAUCGAAUUUCCCUCCAUGGAUUUUAUUUGGAGAAAGCAAAUUCAGGUCCGUAGGGCAGUUAUACUCACCCCUUUCUCUACUCCCCUCAUCCACCCUUUCUCGGGAGUGCGCAGCUCGGGGGGGAAGCGGGGAAGACAAAAGGGGAAAACCUAACCAAACCCUUGAAACAAUUUGCAAAAGUCUUAUCAAGUCCAUUUGAAAAUAAAAUAAAUAAAACUAACUCUUAAACCAUAGCUCUCCUAACCAGCGUGCAAGGGGAGUGGAAAUUGGGAUGGGGGUGCUGGUAGUUCGGGGGUGGCGAGUUGCACAGGGACUUGUAAAGCUGAACGUUUCGGCUCGGAAAAUGGCUGUUGUGAAGUCGAGCAAAAUCCUGUCCCCGCUCCCGGAGGCUUGGGAGAAGCGGGGGGUGGGGGUGGGGGUGAAGAGAGAGGAAGAAAUUACAAGAUCUAGUUUUUAAAUUUAGGUUUUCGGGUAGUGGAGGGGGGAGAAGGCGGGGGCAACACACCAAACACACAACCCACAAUUUUCAAGCGAGGAGAGUAGAGCGAAGCCAAUGAUUAACACCCCAGCCACCCCGCUCCCCACCCCCAAAUAAAUAAAAAGAAAUUCAAACGCCCGCUAGAAGGAGAAGGAGCGGAGCAGCAAGAGCCCUGCUGAACCAUCCGCGGGUGGAC